AUGCCUGUUCGAGCGUCAUUAUGACACUCAAGCUUAGCUUGGUAUUGGGGUUCGCGGUCUCGCGGCCUUAAAUCAGUGGCGGUGCCAUCUGGCUCUAAGCGUAGUAAUUUAUCUCGCUAUUGGGUCCGGUGGUUGCUUGCCAAUAACCCCCAACUUCUAAGGUUGACCUCGGAUCAGGUAGGGAUACCCGCUGAACUUAA
rnacentral:misc_RNA from 1 species